rnacentral:rRNA from 1 species
UGGGGAAUAUUGCACAAUGGGCGCAAGCCUGAUGCAGCCAUGCCGCGUGUAUAAAGAAGGCCUUCGGGUUGUAAAGUACUUUCAGCGAGGAGGAAGGCGUUGUGGUUAAUAACCGCAACGAUUGACGUUACUCGCAGAAGAAGCACCGGCUAACUCCGUGCCAGCAGCCGCGGUAAUACGGAGGGUGCAAGCGUUAAUCGGAAUUACUGGGCGUAAAGCGCACGCAGGCGGUCUGUCAAGUCGGAUGUGAAAUCCCCGGGCUCAACCUGGGAACUGCAUCCGAAACUGGCAGGCUAGAGUCUUGUAGAGGGGGGUAGAAUUCCAGGUGUAGCGGUGAAAUGCGUAGAGAUCUGGAGGAAUACCGGUGGCGAAGGCGGCCCCCUGGACAAAGACUGACGCUCAGGUGCGAAAGCGUGGGGAGCAAACA